CCGCAUAACUAGUAUUUACUUUUGGUGCCAUAGCAUUGGUUGAAAACGAGGUAUCUUGACAAGCAGUUACCGAGUUAAAUAUAAUAUGAUUAAUAUUAUAUACUCGCAUGCCUACUAAAUCAAUUAAAAGAAUUUUUUAUGUAAAUACCCUUGUUUAGUAUGUGUAUAUAUGUAUUAGCCUACAAACAGGAUCAAAGGCUAAAAUGUUAAGCUAACUGACCUUAAAUUUUUCAUAUUUGUAUGUCAUUAAUACGGAUCAAUUAAACAAUGACUUGAUUUCUUUCUUCAAGUACGGUUUUUCUUCACCUGUCGUGUAAAACUUAAAUAAAAUUCACUGACCUCAAUUAUCGGUCUCUUUCUAAAUAUUGCACUGUACAUACAGCGCCUGUUGACGGAUUAGGUUGUAACACAAAAGAGUCUGAUUAAAUAUUCUUUUUACUAACUAGCUUAGAUAUCGACGCAAACAUAUUAAAAACCCUUGGACCAUUCCCGGCGUAGAUUAGCCCCGCGAUCUUUUCUUUUUUCUCCCUGGAUAAGCCGCAUUCUGAGGGGUGAGAGAUCCUUGUCGAAGUUUUAACGCCUGAUGUUUAUCUCCGGGAACAAUCAGCACCAAUGUUCCCGCGCAUGAAUUAUCUAUGAGGAGACGUUCUAUCAAGUAAAAGACUCGGCAAUCCAGUUUAUUCGUUAUCAUCACUGCUAUGCCUAUCAUGUGGCCCUGCCCGGGACACCCCAAAUGCAGAAAGAUCUAUCUCUAUGGACAGGGGUUCCGUGCACACAUUGCGUCAUGUAAACAUGCGCAGUCAAAAAAAGUUCGAGGGCGACGAGAGGCCCUGGAGACUAUGUUUAGCAUCGUCUGCUUCACGGAGAGCCGAAACCUCGGAAAUAUAACACUGGCCCGAAGAAGGAUUCCCGAUUUUCGCCAGGAGCCGGCCACCCUGUGUCGUGUGUGACGUCACUGUGACAAAAGGUGUCAACGUCAAAUACAUGCUAGUCAUUUAGAUUGGAUAUACCAUAGAAGUAAACAUCAGAGUGAAUGGGAUCGUUAGUGAUAUAAUUCACGACAUUGGAGACUUA